rnacentral:rRNA from 1 species
UUCCAGACUCCUACGGGAGGCAGCAGUGGGGGAUAUUGCACAAUGGGGGAAACCCUGAUGCAGCGACGCCGCGUGAGUGAAGAAGUAUUUCGGUAUGUAAAGCUCUAUCAGCAGGGAAGAAGAAAGACGGUACCUGAGUAAGAAGCCCCGGCUAACUACGUGCCAGCAGCCGCGGUAAUACGUAGGGGGCAAGCGUUAUCCGGAUUUACUGGGUGUAAAGGGAGCGUAGACGGUAUGGCAAGUCUGAAGUGAAAGCCCCGGGCUCAACCUGGGAACUGCUUUGGAAACUGUUAAACUAGAGUGCUGGAGAGGCAGGCGGAAUUCCUAGUGUAGCGGUGAAAUGCGUAGAUAUUAGGAGGAACACCAGUGGCGAAGGCGGCCUGCUGGACGAUGACUGACGUUGAGGCUCGAAAGCGUGGGGAGCAAACAGGAUUAGAUACCCGAGUAUA